UGGGGAAUUUUGGACAAUGGGGGCAACCCUGAUCCAGCCAUUCCGCGUGAGUGAAGAAGGCCUUCGGGUUGUAAAGCUCUUUCGCAAGAGAAGAAACGGUAUAGGUUAAUAGCCUAUGCUAAUGACGGUAUCUUGACAAGAAGCACCGGCUAACUACGUGCCAGCAGCCGCGGUAAUACGUAGGGUGCAAGCGUUAAUCGGAAUUACUGGGCGUAAAGCGUACGCAGGCGGUUUGGUAAGUCAGAUGUGAAAUCCCCGAGCUCAACUUGGGAACUGCGUUUGAAACUACCAGACUAGAAUAUGUCAGAGGGGGGUAGAAUUCCACGUGUAGCAGUGAAAUGCGUAGAGAUGUGGAGGAAUACCAAUGGCGAAGGCAGCCCCCUGGGAUAAUAUUGACGCUCAUGUACGAAAGCGUGGGGAGCGAACAGGAUUAGAUACCCUGGUAGUCCACGCCCUAAACGAUGUCAACUAGUUGUUGGUGGAGUAAAAUCCAUGAGUAACGUAGCUAACGCGUGAAGUUGACCGCCUGGGGAGUACGGACGCAAGUUUA
rnacentral:rRNA from 1 species